UCUCAAAAAUGAUCAUUUUAAUGUUUUCUUUGUUCGCGUUAAAUGGGUGCUAUUGCGCCUUCUUAUCGCCAGGGGGCGGAACACAGUUGAUUCUGCCCCUCCCCCUAAAAUACAUUUGGUGAAAACAGAUGAGGACUAAUGUCCCAAUGAAAAAAAAUAACCAGGUCCACUGCUUCUUCUACUCAACGCAUAGAACAUGAAGCGCAAAUCUGGAAUGAGUAGAGGCUGGCUGUAUAGGCAAAGUGGAGCCGAUGGAGAUGUCAAGGAGGAGCCUUCAAGGAGAUCUGCACGGUUGUCAUCGAAACCAGCCCCUCCCAAACCAGCACCAAAACCAAAAAAGCCUGCUAAAAAAGAAAAAGAAGUAAAUGACAAGAAGAAGGAAGACAAGAAGAAGGUGAAGGCAGCAGCAGUCGAGGAGCCUAAAGAGGAGACCCAGUCUGAAAAUGGCGAGACCAAGACAGACGAAGUAUGUCAUGCCAUAUCACUGAUUGUUAAUAUAAGACUAUCAUUUUUAAUUGGAAGUAUUAUCUCGAGAAUGUUGUUUUUAGUUAGUUGUAUCUUACUAUUUCUAGAGGCAAAUCCAUCUAAAAACAUGAAUCAUUCAGGAUUCAGAGUGAAUGGCUCUCAAGGUCUUACUUUUGUCAUCUUACAGGUAGAGACUCCAGAAGAGAAGACUGAGUAGCACCUAUCCUGUUCGUCCAAUUCUCUCCCUUGUAUGGCCCCCCAAGUCUCAUGUGUUUUCCCUAAAACCUCCAUUACCUUAUUAACAGAGGAAUAUUUUUAUCAACAAUUUUGUAAUUAUUGGUACAGGUUUUUAGCACAAAACAAAGCUAAAUAUGGAAGAUUGUUCUGUUGUGCAGUGGUCAUAUCAAGUGUUUUUAAGCAAACAUAAUUACGGUUUCGUUUUUUUAUUAGUGUUGGUACCUUGUUGGGAGCUCAAAAAAUAAUGCUGGCUGGCAGACUAAUUGCAGGUGGUAUAGUAUCACAUUGUAGGUUUGCCAACUCACAACAUUUCACUUUUGUUGGUGGUUGUAUUUUUACCCUUGAUAUGUGCAGUGUUUUUUCUUUAUGUGGGGGUUUACUUAUUUUCAACGUGAAUGUCUGUAAGAGGAAUUUAAAUAUUGAAAAAAUAUUGAAAACAUUCCAGGCUUAAUAAUGAUGUGGGCAUAACUGCUUUUGAAAUAAUCUUGCUCUGAAUUAUUUUGAUGACAAAUUAUUUUAACGGCAGAAGAGACUUGUUGGAAGUCGCUAAUGCUUUUUGAAACAAAUGUUGGGAUUUUUUAUUGAAAUAUGCCGCUAUCUGUUGUGUUCCCACUGAAGUUCUGGAUGUCUAAUUGGAAUUUAAUAAAAUAGUAAUUGGAAUUUUCCUCAUGAGGUUGCACUCUGUCUCAUUACUUUACGUGUCAUUAUUACUGUAUCAUUACCAUAUCAUAUAUAAACAAACAAUAAUCUUAAAUUAAUGACUGAUGGAAAACUUUUGGUCAGAGGUAGCAUUUUGCAACAUACUUUCUGGAUUUGUCUAAAUGUCUUAGUCACUAUUUGCUGACCAAAACUCAAAAUGAGAGUAAAUGGACCCUAGGUACAAUACAUAACCAAAAGUAUGUGGACACCUGCUCGUCAAACAUCUCAUUCCAAAAUCAUGGGCAUUAAUUUUGACUUGGUCCCACCUUUGCUGCUCUAACAGCCUCCACUCUUCUGGGAAGGCUUUCCACUAGAUGUUAGAACAUUGCUGGGGAGACUUGUUUCCAUUCAACCACAAGAACAUUAGUGAGGUUGGCCACUGAUGUUGGGCGAUUAGUCCUGGCUCGCAGUCAGCAUUCCAAAGGUGUUCGAUGGGGUUGAGGUCAGGGCUCUGUGCAGGCCAGUCAAGUUCUACCACACUGAUCUUGAAAAAACAUUUCUGUAUCGACCUCGCUUUGUGCACAGGAGCAUUGCCAUGCUAAAACAGGAACGGGCCCUCAAACUGUUGCCACAAAGUUUGAAGCACAGAAUCAUCUAGAAUGUCAUUGUAUGCUGUAGCGUUAAAAUUUCCCUUCACUGGAACUAAGGGGCCUAGCCCGAACCAUGAAAAACAGCCCCAGACCAUUAUUCCUUAUCCACCCAACUUUACAGUUGGCACUAUGCAUUGGGAAAAGUAGCGUUCUCCUGGCAUCCGCCUAACCCAGAUUCGCCUGUCGGACUGCCAGAUGGUGAAGCGUGAUUCAUCACUCCAGAGAAUGCGUUUCCAGAGUCCAAUGACAGCAAGCUUUACACCACUCCAGCCGACCCUUGGCAAAGUGCAUGGUGAUCUUAGGCUUGUCUGCGACUGCUCUGCCAUGGAAAUCCAUUUCAUGAGGCUCCAGACAAACAGUUAUUGUGCUGACGUUGCUUCCAGAGGCAGUUUGGAACUCGGAGUUGCAACCCAGGACACACCAUUUUUUACGCGCUUCAGCACUCCGUGGUUCCGUUCUGUGAGCUUGUGUGGCCUACCACCUCGCGGCUGAGCCGUUGUUGCUCCUAGACGUUUCCACUUCACAAUAACAGCACUUACAGUUGACCGGGGCAGCUCUGGUAGGGCAGACAUUUGACGAACUGACUUGUUGGAAAGGUGGCAUCCUGUGACGGUGCCACGUUGAAAGUCACUGAGCUCGUCAGUAAGGCCAUUCUACUGCCAAUGUUUGUCUAUGGAGAUUGCAUGGCUGUGUGCUCGAUUCUAUACACCUUUCAGCAACGGGUGUGGCUGAAAUAGCCGAAGCCACACAUUUUAAGGGGUGUCCACAUUCUUUUUUAUAUAUAAUGUAUCAUGCCAGCUUACUUGUAUAGAGCCUACAAAUCACCACAAAGACAUGAUUUUGCAUGUCUUGCAAAAGCAUGCAAUUUUUCAGCUCUUAACAUUAUAAUUGUUUGACAUGCAAAUUGGUAACCUUGCUCUAACUAGGGCUAAGUAGUGUUUGGCAGUACCCAUUAGCCGUAGCUUUUGUGGAGCGAUGGGUAACGAUGCUUCGAGGGUGACUGAUGUGUGCAGAGCGUCCCUGGUUCGCGCCCAGGUCAGGGCGAGGGGACGGAUGUAAAGUCUAUACUGUUACAUAUAAUAAAUAAUAUGCUGUUAUUUUUGCCAUAUGGUAAGUUUUGUGCUUGUCUGAAAAUAACCCUAUAGUUGUAGUUGCAACUUAAUUUAAUAUUUGGAAGUACAUAGUCUAAAAGUGAAGGCAAGACAUUAGAUCAACAUCCAUUAAAUCAGAAUAUAAUAGGCCUUACUUGUUUAUUUAUUUGAAAUGACAAUCUCAAUACCCCAGAAUAUGCUCUACUCUCAGACAAAUUAAUUGAGGUUGAUAAAAACAAUUUUAUCUACAAAUAUGUCCUCAAUAAAAGGUCUCUGUCCUGGGCUCGAUUUCCCAAAUGCAUUUUAAGGAUAAAUUAGUCUUUAGAACCAUAACGAUAAACUAAGUCUUCAGAUGCUUUUGGGAAACCGGGCCUAGUACUUACUAUAUGUUAUGAACUCCUCACCAAAACCAGGUGGUAUGGCCACCAGGUGGCUCGUGCUGGAAUUGCAAAUGUUCUGUCAUUGGUCGCGGGAGGGCGCUAACAAAGCUGUGGAGAUAGCUUGAGAAAGGAAAAGGCCAAACGCUGGGAAGCAAUUCAAGUGGCUAUUUUCCAAAUACACCUAAACAUUAGUGAAUCAAAU
ensembl:lncRNA